rnacentral:tRNA from 1 species
GGGCCUAUAGCUCAGCUGGUCAGAGCAGAGGACUCAUAAUCCUUUGGUCCACGGUUCAAGUCCGUGUGGGCCCAC